AGUGAACGCUGGCGGUAGGCCUAACACAUGCAAGUCGAACGGCAGCACAGUAAGAGCUUGCUCUUACGGGUGGCGAGUGGCGGACGGGUGAGGAAUACAUCGGAAUCUACUUUUUCGUGGGGGAUAACGUAGGGAAACUUACGCUAAUACCGCAUACGACCUACGGGUGAAAGCAGGGGAUCUUCGGACCUUGCGCGAUUGAAUGAGCCGAUGUCGGAUUAGCUAGUUGGCGGGGUAAAGGCCCACCAAGGCGACGAUCCGUAGCUGGUCUGAGAGGAUGGUCAGCCAAACUGGAACUGAGACACGGUCCAGACUCCUACGGGAGGCAGCAGUGGGGAAUAUUGGACAAUGGGCGCAAGCCUGAUCCAGCCAUACCGCGUGGGUGAAGAAGGCCUUCGGGUUGUAAAGCCCUUUUGUUGGGAAAGAAAAGCAGCAGGUUAAUACCCCGCUGUUCUGACGGUACCCAAAGAAUAAGCACCGGCUAACUUCGUG
rnacentral:rRNA from 1 species